GAUAAACGCUGGCGGCGUGCAUGAGACAUGCAAGUCGAACGAACGACCUCGGGCUUGCCCGGGGAAAUGAGUGGCGAACGGCUGAGUAACGCGUGGGUGACCUGCCCAGAAGUGGGGAAUAACUGCCCGAAAGGGUGGCUAAUACCGCAUGUGGUCAUUAGUUCAUUCUUAUGACCAAAGCCUUAGGGCGCUUUUGGAGGGGCCUGCGUUCGAUUAGCUCGUUGGUGAGGUAACGGCUCACCAAGGCGACGAUCGAUAGGUGGUCUGAGAGGAUGAUCACCCAGACUGGGACUGAGACACGGCCCAGACUCCUACGGGAGGCAGCAGUCGGGAAUUUUGCUCAAUGGGGGAAACCCUGAAGCAGCAACGCCGCGUGAGGGAUGAAGGCCUUCGGGUUGUAAACCUCUUUUCUCAGGGACGAU
rnacentral:rRNA from 1 species